rnacentral:rRNA from 1 species
GACGAACGCUGGCGGCGUGCCUAAUACAUGCAAGUCGGACGCAGUUGCGAACGGGUGAGUAACGCGUCGGUAACUGCCUCUUAGAGGGGGAUAACUAUUGGAAACGAUAGCUAAUACCGCAUACUAGUAGAUGGACCUGCGUUGUAUUAGGUAGUAGGUAGGGUAAUGGCCUACCUAGGCAACGAAACAUAGCCGACCUGGGGCGGUGGUCGGCCACACUGGGACGGGGACCAGGGCCAGGCUCCUUCGGGAGGGAGCCAUAGGGGAACUUCGGCAAUGGGGCGAACCCUGACCGAGCAACGCCGCGGGAUAGGAGAAAGUUUUCGGAGCGGAAAGCUCUUUUGUGAAGGGAGCGGUACUUAACCAGAAAGGGACGGCUAACUACGUGCCAGCAGCCGCGGUAAUUC